GAUGAACGCUGGCGGUAUGCUUAACACAUGCAAGUCGAACGGACUCUUCGGAGUUAGUGGCGGACGGGUGAGUAACGCGUGAGAAUCUGGCUUUGGGUUCGGGACAACCACUGGAAACGGUGGCUAAUACCGGAUGUUCCGAGAGGUAAAAGAGAAAUUGCCUGCAUAUGAGCUCGCGUGUGAUUAGCUCGUUGGUGAGGUAAAUGCUCACCAAGGCAGCGAUCAGUAGCUGCUCUGAGCGGAUGACCAGCCACACGGGGACUGAGACACGGCCCAAGCUCCUGCGGGAGACAGGAGUGGGGUAUUGUCCGCAAUGGGCGAGAGCGUGACGGAGAAAUACCGCGUGAGAGAGGAAGGCUCUUGUGUUGUAAACCUCUUUUCUUAGGGAAGAACAAAAUGACGGUACCUAAGGAAUCAGCAUCGGCUAACUCCGUG
rnacentral:rRNA from 1 species